AGCUCCCAUGGCGCCUGUUUAUCAAAAACAUGGUUUUUUGGAGUAAUAAAAAAUCUAACCUGCUCCAUGCUUAUGUUAAUAGCCGCAGUAUUAUGACUGUGCUAAGGUAGCAUAAUCAUUUGUCUUUUAAAUAAAGUCUAGAAUGAAAGGUUGGCCGAAGAAGAAGCUCUCUUUUUAUUAAAAAAUGAAUUUAAUUAUUUAGUAAAAAGGCUAAUAUUAAUCUGAGGGACGAUAAGACCCUAUAAACUUAAUUUUAAAAAUUUUACUGGGGUGGUGAGAUAAGAGUAGAAUCUUAUUUAAAUGGAUUUUUAUUUAUAGACCCAAUAUUAUUGAGGGGUAGAAAAAGUUACUAUAGGGAUAACAGCUUAAUUUUUUUUUGAAGUUCUUAUUUUAGGAAAAGUUUGAGACCUCGAUGUUGAAUUAAAGUAUCUUUUUAGUGUAGAAGCUAAAAUUAAGAAAGUCUGUUCGACUUUUAAAUCUUUACGUGAUCUGAGUUCAGACCGGCCAUGGGAGCU
rnacentral:rRNA from 1 species